rnacentral:rRNA from 1 species
UGCGUAGGCGGAUAAAUAAGUCAGUGGUGAAAUCUUUCGGCUCAACCGGGAAACUGCCAUUGAUACUGUUUAUCUUGAGUUCGGUAGAGGUAGGCGGAAUGUGUAAUGUAGCGGUGAAAUGCUUAGAUAUUACACAGAACACCAAUUGCGUAGGCAGCUUACUAUGUCGACACUGACGCUGAGGCACGAAAGCGUGGGGAGCGAACAGGAUUAGAUACCCUGGUAGUCC